rnacentral:rRNA from 1 species
GGUUUUUUGUGCUUUAAUAAAAAAUCUGGCCUGCCCAAUGGGGGUGGUUGAAUGGCCGCGGUAUUUUGACCGUGCUAAGGUAGCGUAAUAAUUAGUCUUGUAAUUUGGGACUGGAAUGAAAGGUUGGACGAGGGAAGUUCUGUUUCUAAAGAAGGAGGAUUGAAAUUAGUGUUGUUGUGAAAAGGCAACGGAGAGACUGAGGGACGAGAAGACCCUAUUAAGUUUUAUAGGAUUGAUUUUGGAUUUUUUAUUUGAGGGGAUUUGAUUGAUUUGGUCUUGUUUUGCUGGGGUGGUGUUGAUUAGAUAAAAUCUUUGUGAUUAGUUGUGAGGGUAAAAAACUAUGAGCCAAAAAAUUGGUUUUGAUAUUUGGAUUAAAUUACUAUAGGGAUAACAGCGUAAUAUUGUUGGAGAGUUCAUAUUGAUAACAAAUUUUGCGACCUCGAUGUUGAAUUAAAAUACCUAUUUGGUGUAGGGGCUGAAGUAAGGUGGUCUGUUCGACCGUUAAAUUUUUACA